UAAACGGGCUUUGUUUCUCAGGGAGCUGUCAGUACCGACACAGAAACAGACACAGGUGUAAACGGGCUUUGUUUCUCAGGGAGCUGUCAGUACCGACACAGAAACAGACACAGGUGUAAACGGGCUUUGUUUCUCAGGGAGCUGUCAGUACCGACACAGAAACAGGUGUAAACGGGCUUUGUUUCUCAGGGAGCUGUCAGUACCGACACAGAAACAGACACAGGUGUAAACGGGCUUUGUUUCUCAGGGAGCUGUCAGUACCGACACAGAAACAGACACAGGUGUAAACGGGCUUUGUUUCUCAGGGAGCUGUCAGUACCGACACAGAAACAGACACAGGUGUAAACGGGCUUUGUUUCUCAGGGAGCUGUCAGUACCAACACAGAAACAGGUGUAAACGGGCUUUGUUUCUCAGGGAGCUGUCAGUACCGACACAGAAACAGGUGUAAACGGGCUUUGUUUCUCAGGGAGCUGUCAGUACCGACACAGAAACAGACACAGGUGUAAACGGGCUUUGUUUCUCAGGGAGCUGUCAGUACCGACACAGAAACAGACACAGGUGUAAACGGGCUUUGUUUCUCAGGGAGCUGUCAGUACCGACACAGAAACAGGUGUAAACGGGCUUUGUUUCUCAGGGAGCUGUCAGUACCGACACAGAAACAGGUGUAAACGGGCUUUGUUUCUCAGGGAGCUGUCAGUACCAACACAGAAACAGGUGUAAACGGGCUUUGUUUCUCAGGGAGCUGUCAGUACCGACACAGAAACAGGUGUAAACGGGCUUUGUUUCUCAGGGAGCUGUCAGUACCGACACAGAAACAGGUGUAAACGGGCUUUGUUUCUCAGGGAGCUGUCAGUACCGACACAGAAACAGGUGUAAACGGGCUUUGUUUCUCAGGGAGCUGUCAGUACCAACACAGAAACAGGUGUAAACGGGCUUUGUUUCUCAGGGAGCUGUCAGUACCGACACAGAAACAGA